UGCAACCUUUAGACAGUUAAGAUCCAUAAUAUCAAAUUUUGCCUUCUUUUGAAUUACUCGCCGCAUGUACUGAACUGCCAUCUUAACAGUAAAUUUUGGAAGCCGAAUUUUGUACACAUCUACAAGUUCCAUCAUUAGAUCAAAUAAAUUAGAGAAGGCGCUAUCCAACACCAUUCCAGCUAUGGAUGGAUCUUCUGCUCCAUAAAGAAGGCAAGUAACUGCCCCCAUUGAUCGUCCCCAGAGGCCUAUCCGUGAUACUUGUUGAUUGCUUCUUAGAUAUGAAACCACAACCUUGAGGUCAUGUCCCUCAUGCCAGCCAAGGCUAACAUAUUCACCAUCAGAUAAGCCAGAACCCGAAAAAUCAAGAGCAAAAACAGUAAUAUUUGAUGGUAGAAGAAUUACUGCAGCCUCAUUUGCAUCUGCCCUGCAUCCACUGUUUCCAUGGCAGUAUAUAACACAAGGAAGAGGAGUGUCUUCAGGAAAAGGUGAUGGCACAUAAUGGCUACACUCCAAGUCUUGUCUCUUGUAUGCUCUACCAGCAAGAGUGAAAUCCUUCUCCCACAAAUACUGAUCUGGGUUAUAA
rnacentral:misc_RNA from 1 species